CGGCAUGAGAGACACCUGCCUCGCGCGCCACCGCGCGCAGCGUCAGCCCAUUGAUGCCCUCGCGUUCCGCGACCUGUUUGGCGGCCUUGAGCAAAGCCCCAUGCAAAUCGCCGUGAUGAUACGGCUGCUCGCGAUCAGAUUUGUGUGCGGUUUUGGCUGCGGAGGGAGAGGUUUUUUUCACAGACACGGGCUUCGACAGCGGCUUUUUUCCAGCCGCUGCGGCCCUGGGGAGUUUCUCCCGCCU
rnacentral:misc_RNA from 1 species